rnacentral:lncRNA from 1 species
CAUUACCUACAUGCCUCUCCACCUUUUCUCCCCACUUUCCUUUUCAUCACCCUGCCUCUUUCCACAGGGAGCCUUCUGGAAAGGAGUCAGCAGUCACUGGGUGUCUCUCCUGCUUCACGUUUCAUUUGCCCCACUCGCUUCCAAGGAGGCAAGCGCUUCUCUUACUCCACUGCGAGUCGCCUUGCAAAGGUCGUUGUCAGACCCCUAAUCACCCGACCCAAAGUGUUGAAGAGAAGGCAGACAAACCCACCAAGGCCCAAGCAGAGUUUUUAAUGCAGCAAAGACUUACGACCUCAGCGUGCUUCGUCAGUAAGCUCCCGGAAGGACACAGAUGCUGUAUGUUGGUUCCACUGAAACUUCCAGAGCCCCUCUCCAGGAUCCUGACUGGCAGAGCCCCUUACAACGUGGUCCGCUUUCCCUGUUUCUACCUGCAGACGAACAUUGCCGCGGAUGGAGGCUGGAACUCUGCCGUAAGUGAGAGCAGACACUAUGGGCAGCCAGAAUCGCAGCACCGUAGGUUAAAAAAAGCCUCUGAACAUAACUGAUCAGAAGGCUCCCUCCUCUUUUUUUUUUUUUUUGAAAGAAAAUACUGGUGGCGACAAAAAAGGGGAAAUGAAAACGAAACAUGUAAUUGAGUCCAGCUGGGUCUGCUGCCAGCAGAAGUCCGUCUCUUAGAGUCAGUGUAGCUCAGAGCACUUGGAAAUUAAUGGGGUGGAAUUAGUUUGAAGUUUAUGGCAAUUUGGCACACAAGUGCUUUGAACGCUAAUCUCGAAUUUGGAGAUGGUUGGCAUUGCCUCUGACCUCAUCCUUUUAUCUCUGCAUCUCUAACGGACUCAUUACUUUAUUUAGAAAAUUUUCAGGAUUUACCCACAUUCUUGAUAAAUUAUCACAGUUCAUGAUUGAAUCCUUUCUUUCCUCAGAUUCCUGUGUUGUUGUUGUUUCCUUUCAGGAAGGCUUUCUGUGCCUUUAUUUCUUUAUCCUAAACAUGUGAGGUAUUUCUAGGACCGUGGGCAAAAAGUCAGUUUCUGGAAUCUAGCUAAUAACUCCUCCAACUGGACUGCUUUUAAGACAAGGGCAGGAAAGGCAAUGGGGGCUUAUUGAAUUUUAAGGCACUUUACCUAAUACACACUUGGCAAAACUAAUGAAAGACUUUGGGGAACAAUGGAACAUAGACACAUGUCACAGACUUUAAAAAAUUAACAGCUUUAUUGAGAUAUAAUUGCAUACCGUAGAAUUCAUCCCUUUAAAGCACACAUUCAGUGGUUUUUAGUCUAUUCACAGAGUUGUGCAAUCAUCAUCAUUAUCUAAUUUCAGAGUGUUUUCAUCACCCCCCAAAGAAACCCCGUGUCCAUUAGCAGUCACUCCCUAUUCUGUCCCUCCAAGCUCUUGGCAACCACGAAUCUAUUUUCCAUCUCCAUGGAUUUGCCUAUUCUGGACAUUUCAUGUAAGUGAAAUCAUCUAAUAUGCAGCCUUCUGUGUCUGGUUUCCGGCCCUUAGCAUGAUGUUUUCUCAGUACAUCCAUGGUGUCGCAUGCAUCGAUAAUUCAGUCUUUUUUAUCGCUGAAUAAUAUUCUGUUUUGUGGACAUACUACAUUUUGGUUAUCCAUUCAUCAGUUGACGGGCGUUCCGAUUGCUUCCAUUUUUAAGACGAUUGUGAGUCAUGCGCUGUAAACACGGGGUUAAGUUUUUCUGAGGGCUUGCGUUUUAGUUCCUCUUGGGUAAAUACCUAGGGGUAGAAUUUCUGAGUCAUAUGUGACAGACCGAAUAUACAGACGGAAAAUGUCCGGAUCAUACACAAAAACAGCACUCAGACCCAUAACCUGCAACAACUUGCCCACAGAUCCAUCUCCCUAUCUGCAAUAAACAGCUCAGAAAGCCAGAAGUCA